ensembl:lncRNA
GCCCGAGCUAACGGUGAGGUCCCCGCGCGAAUCGCGGCUGCGCGCUCGCCCCAGCCCCAGGACCUGCGUGGGCAGCAACGCUGCAGGCGGUCUGUGCCGAAUCGCUGCUGUUGCGGGUGCGAUGCCCGUGUGCCGAGCUGCCAGGCAGGCCGUCUGCUGGUGACCCACCCAACCUCCUGCCCAGGCUGCCUGCCCUUCUCAUUUGCGGAAGCUGGAGGAUCCCUUUUGCCUGGACAGUGCCCUUCCCUGGCUCAGCGCCCGGUGCCAACAGAACACCUUGCAGGAUCCACAGCAGCGCAGACAACGCUCCAGGAUGCCGGCCUCGGCUUGGAACGGAGCGGUGUCAUGGCGGAGACGACGGCCUUUGUCUCGCAGGGUGUGAAAGCAUCCGUUGUGCCGGCUCCACUGCGGCAGAGCGACGCGCAAAGGGGGAAGAGCGCUGGAAGCCAGAGUUGUGCCGUGCUGCGGGGGGCGUCCCCGGGUCCCCAGGAGCCGAGCGUGUCCGAGGAAGGGCUCGCACUGGAGGAACCUAGUCUGUAAUCCUGGCACUCACGCCUUCGGUCGCUGCUUGCGGUUUGCUCCUGGGGGUCUGGAUAAUCUCCCUUAGCUUUGGCGCACUGUCUGGCCCGCGCACAGGGCCCCCGUAACAUAUACCCGCUGCCGUUAUCACACGGAGCUGUGGCGUUGCCACUGAAUGGAUGGCACUGUGCCAACUCUGCUGCCAUCCGCCCUUGCAGCUUUUUUUUCUUUCCUCCCUCCUCCCUCCCUCUCUCCCCUCCUCCUCCUCCUCCCGUCGACUUGACGUUAAUUAACACACGGGUUAAUUGAUUUUAAAAGCUGAAGAAUUACAGUUAACUUUUCCCACAGGGUACAGACGCCAGCCGCUUGGCACGAUCCUGCCGCUCGCGCUGGUGCAGGGGGGCAGGGAAGAGCCCGCAGCAAAACUAGCAACUGCGGAGGGAGCGUUUUCUGCCUGUUGGAGCACGGCUGAGGGAAGCUGAUGCGCUCCCGGCUCGUCCUCUCCAAGAUGUCACCGUUAUAUUUUGUUAUAAACAAUCAAAGCGAUCCCUCCUCCCUCCUCUCGCUCCCACCCUUCUGGCAGGAACGCGAGCUCUGCCCAAGUUCAAGCAGGAAAGCGGUCUCCCGCAAAGGCUGAUUACGACACUCAAGCGACCAGCCUCGGCGGGCUGUCACGUCGCAGGGCUCCCAUCCCGCGCAACCUGGACCUGGCGAGUUCGGAGAUCUCAGGAGCUUCAGAAGAAUGCAGAGCAACGUGCACCUGACAAAGCCUGGUUGCUUUUUCCAGCGCUUGGCCUCUGCAGUUUCCUACCUACUGUGUUUGAAGGAUUCCCUGCAGCCCCCUUCUUGAGACUUCCCUGGACCUUUCUCUGCAGUUCUUGUUUUUUGUCCAUCAUGGAGCUGGAUGCUCAAGAGCAGAGGAUCUAUCAACUGCAGACCAAGCGGAGGGAGAGACAGGCAGACCUGGAGCAGAAAUGCAGCCGGAUCCAGCAGCUCAGCCAGGACCUGGAGGCCAGCCACCAGCCGCAGGAGGAAGCUCAGAAGCAGGGAGGGUAAAUUUAGCUCCAAACAGCAGAAGAGAGAAGGGAAGGAAGGGGAAAGAGCAGUGCAGCUUGGAACAAGCUGCCGUGGUGAAUCCACCACCACCAUCGCACCCGUCGGCCAGGGACCCCGCUGAUCAGAGGUGGCUGCUCCAGGCAAGAGAGCCAGGAACUUAA